AUACGUAGGUGACAAGCGUUAUCCGGAUUUACUGGGCGUAAAGGGCGUGUAGGCGGUCUUGCAAGUCAGAAGUGAAAUUCCUGAGCUCAACUCGGGCGCUGCUUCUGAAACUGCAGGACUUGAGUGCUGGAGGGGAUAGCGGAAUUCCUAGUGGAGCGGUAAAAUGCGCAGAUAUUAGGAAGAACACCGGUGGCGAAGGCGGCUAUCUGGACAGUAACUGACGCUGAGGCGCGAAAGCGUGGGGAGCAAACAGGAUUAGAUACCCUGGUAGUCCACGCUGUAAACGAUGAAUGCUAGGUGUAGGAGGUAUCGACCCCUUCUGUGCCGGAGUAAACACAAUAAGCAUUCCGCCUGGGGAGUACGGCCGCAAGGUUGAAACUCAAAUGAAUUGACGGG
rnacentral:rRNA from 1 species